rnacentral:rRNA from 1 species
UUUGGAUUAUGGCUCAGAUUGAACGCUGGCGGCAGGCCUAACACAUGCAAGUCGAGCGGAUGACGGGAGCUUGCUCCUUGAUUCAGCGGCGGACGGGUGAGUAAUGCCUAGGAAUCUGCCUGGUAGUGGGGGACAACGUUUCGAAAGGAACGCUAAUACCGCAUACGUCCUACGGGAGAAAGCAGGGGACCUUCGGGCCUUGCGCUAUCAGAUGAGCCUAGGUCGGAUUAGCUAGUUGGUGGGGUAAUGGCUCACCAAGGCGACGAUCCGUAACUGGUCUGAGAGGAUGAUCAGUCACACUGGAACUGAGACACGGUCCAGACUCCUACGGGAGGCAGCAGUGGGGAAUAUUGGACAAUGGGCGAAAGCCUGAUCCAGCCAUGCCGCGUGUGUGAAGAAGGUCUUCGGAUUGUAAAGCACUUUAAGUUGGGAGGAAGGGCAGUAAGYUAAUACCUUGCUGUUUUGACGUUACCGACAGAAUAAGCACCGGCUAACUCUGUGCCAGCAGCCGCGGUAAUACAGAGGGUGCAAGCGUUAAUCGGAAUUACUGGGCGUAAAGCGCGCGUAGGUGGUUUGUUAAGUUGGAUGUGAAAGCCCCGGGCUCAACCUGGGAACUGCAUCCAAAACUGGCAAGCUAGAGUACGGUAGAGGGUGGUGGAAUUUCCUGUGUAGCGGUGAAAUGCGUAGAUAUAGGAAGGAACACCAGUGGCGAAGGCGACCACCUGGACUGAUACU